UGAGGAAUAUUGGUCAAUGGACGAGAGUCUGAACCAGCCAAAUCGCGUGAAGGAAGACUGCCCUACGGGUUGUAAACUUCUUUUGUACAGGAAUAAAAGACAUUACGUGUAAUGUAUUGCAUGUACUGUACGAAUAAGCAUCGGCUAACUCCGUGCCAGCAGCCGCGGUAAUACGGAGGAUGCGAGCGUUAUCCGGAUUUAUUGGGUUUAAAGGGUGCGCAGGCGGGAUUUUAAGUCAGCGGUGAAAUUUUCAGGCUCAACCUGAACACUGCCGUUGAAACUGGGAUUCUUGAGUAUGGAUGAAGUAGGCGGAAUUCGUUGUGUAGCGGUGACAUGCUUAGAUAUAACGAGGAACUCCGAUUGCGUAGGCAGCUUACUAAGCCAUAACUGACGCUCAAGCACGAAAGCGUGGGGAUCAAA
rnacentral:rRNA from 1 species